ensembl:lncRNA
CUCCAUCAUACUGCCCUGCAAAACAACACCUGACCUGCCUGAGGACACCACAGUGGAGUGGACUCACUCUGACCUGGAGCAGAUAGUGUGUAUCCAAACAGAAGUGACCACCUUAAUCACCAGGAUGGUUUUUACAGAAACCGAACAAAGAUGAACAAAGACCUGCUGAGAACUGGAGACCUCAGUCUGACCCUGAAAUACCCCACAGAGAGAGACAGUGGAGGAUACAUCUGCACCAUCUACAGGGACAAAGACAUCCUGACACAGAAAGUAGUGCUGCAGGUCAAAGAACCAUUUCCAUCCUGGGCCAAAGCUCUCCUGGUUCUUCUGGUUCUUCUUGUGGUUUCUGGAGGUCUUUUAUUUCAUUUCCGGCACUAUUUCAUGUCAGUCCCCUGGGUGGAGGUGGAUUCAGGGGUGGAGUCUGUCCAGCUGAUCUGCAAAACCACAGUUUGCCUGCCUAAAGAUGCUAAAGUGGAGUGGAAGGAUGCAAACAACAGGAAGGUCCACGUGUAUGAGAACGGCUCUGACCAGCCUGAAGAACAGGACGAUAAAUACAAGAACCGAACAAAGAUGAAGAGAAACUUACUGGAACCUGGAGACCUCAGUCUGACCCUGAAACAGCCCACAGAUGGAGACAACUCCACCUAUACCUG